UCUAAGUAUUUGACAUGAGUUUCCACAUAUGUUUUAAAAUUGCAGCUCUGUUUUGUGUUUCCAAGUUAGGAAAGCCUAAACCACCAUAUCUUUUGGGGCUGACAUAUAGAUUUCCAAGCCACUAAACCACCAUAGGAAUUGUCUGAGUAACCUGUUGAUCUCUGUUAAAACAGAUUCAGGAAAAAUGAAGCUCACUAGGACUGAUUGAAUUAGCUGUACUCUUCUAGCACAUGAGAGAGGCUUUGUUGCCCAAUGCUGAAUCCUGUUAUCAACCAGCACUCUACAAUCUGUUUCCUUUAACCUUGUUGACAUCAAGGGCUGACCCUAGAGGUAGAAUCUUUUGAAGCCUCUUGUUUAAGAUGCAAAGCUAAUUGAUAGGCUGAUUUAAAGUUAAAUUCAACAUUAACUGAUCAUAUGAGUUAAUUAAAUUUUAAAAGGACAUUCCUCUCCACUAAUUGAUAAUGAAGAACCAAGUCAAGUUAUCCCCUUUUUAUUUAGGAAAAAAAAAAAAAAAAGAACCAAGUCAAGUUCCUGACGAAGGCAACACCAAAAUCAGCAUAUAAUUAAUUUAUUUUGUCUAAGAUCAUUGUGCAGACCCCUUGAAGCCAGUUGAUGGUGAUACCUUGUUUUUUGUUUUUUGGUUGUUAGGGUGAUGUUUUCUAACCCUGUUACAUACUUGAAGUAGUCAAAUUUUAUAUGUUCGUAAAGCCGAUUAAUGACUAGAAGGCACUUAAGUAAUAAAAAAUCAUCAAUGAAGCCUCAUAAGAGUGAGAUUCUUUAUUUCGUUAUCCAUUUACGUUUUUUUUUUUUUUUUUUUUUUUUUUUUCAUAGUUGAUACUCACACACACAUGCCUCCAUGGAGGCUUGAACCCUUGACCUCCCUUUGGGAAGUAAGGGCCUGAUACCGCUAGGCCACUGGCCCGUUGGUUCGUUAUUCAUUUACUUGCUGAAAGAAGAAAGGUGGAAGCCCAUAAGAGAGAGAUUUGAUUGAGUAAGUUAUUUCAUAUGCCAAACAAUUUUCUAAUAAAUUAUAGAAAAGGAGAUUGUGUUAUUUAAUGAUCAUUUUAAAGGUAAAUGGAAAACAAUAAAAGAUAAAUACAGAAUUUCCUUUAUUGAAUACCCCUGAAGAGUUAAAUCAGUAUAGUUUGAAUGUGAUAGAAGGUGUGGGGUGGAUUAAAUUGUACACUCCUUUUUUUGAAUGCAUUUGUAUGGUCUGAGGCCAAUUUUAUCAGUUGACAAUGUGAAUUCAAUUUUUUGAGUCUUGUAGGAUUGUCAGUUAGAACAAUUUUUUAAAAAGAGGGCCAUUUUCAAGCACAUAUUGACCAUAUGCAAUUCAAAAAUUCACCUCCAGUAUUAAUACACAAAAUUAUAAUUCAUAAGAAAACAAAAAGAAGAAGAAACAAGUCGUCUAAAUCAUAUCUUAGGAUGUCUUAGGAACAACCCAAAUUGGUGCUGGAUCAAUCUUCUGCACAUCAUCUUCACCUUCAUUAAUCAGUUCUAUACUCUGAUUUUCCAUGUUAAACCUUCCUGUGUCAUGACCAUAUUUGUCACUCUCACCCAUUUGAUCCCAAUAAUACUCAUCCAUGAAGAAAAUCGAAUUCCCUUUACAAAAUGGAAAACCCUUUGCUGAGAGUGACACUGAUUGAUUCCCACCCAAAAACAACAUGCCAUCAUCGCCUAAUGAUUUAAAGAAAGCUUUUGCUAACAAUUUAAUGUUUGGGAUUUGAAGAAAGCUUUUGCUUUUCUUUUUCCUUUUUUCUUUUUUUUUUGGGCAGAAAGGGAAGCCAUCGAAUGAAAUUGCACCUCACCAGCCGAAUGGAAAAUGGGUUACAGAUGAUAUGGAACCAAGUGGAUGGAGAAGGGAAUUGAGGGUAUGUGGGAUAGGUACUCGACAAUAUGUCUGAGAGAAAAAUACCUCAUAUAAAAUGGUUGAGAGGGCCUUCUUGCAGCCAAUUGUGAUUCUGGAAGCGAGUUUCCGAACCAUUUUGCUUUUGAUCAAGGGCCUUGCUAAGGAUCUCAGCUGAAUUCUGUUUUGUGUUUCCAAGCUAGGAAAGCCUAAAGCACCAUAUUUCUUUUGGGGUUGACAUAUGGAUUUCGAAGCCACUAAACCACCCUUGGAAUUGUCUGAGUAACCUUAUGAUCUCUGUUGGAACAUAUUUAGGAAAAAUGAAGUGACUAGACCGGUAGAACUGCAUUGAAGGAGCCUAGGACUGGUUGAAUUAGCUGUACUCACUCUUCCAGCAAAUGAGAGACACUUUGUUACGCAGUGCUGAAUCCUGUUUCACAGAUGUUGACUGGGCUGGUUCUCCCUCAGAUAGGAAAUCUACUACAGGCUAUUGUACACUUAUUGGUGGAAACCUUGUUACAUGGAAAAGUAAGAAGCAAACAGUUGUAGCACGGUCUAGCGCUGAAGCAAAGUACAGGGCGAUGGCCCAUAUCUCUAGUGAGUUAACGUGGAUAUAACAUUUUCUUGAAGAACUUGGGUUAAUAGUCAAGAAUCCUAUUCCACUGUUUUGUGAUAACCAAACAGCUAUUCACAUCGCAUCCAAUCCGGUUUUUCAUGAAAGAACCAAGCACAUUGAAGUUGAUUGUCACUUCACUCGAGAGAAAAUAUUAAGUGGAAACAUUUCUACUCCAUUCGUGAAGUCUGAAGAUCAAUUAGCGGAUAUGUUUACUAAGGCUCUUGGUCAUAAUCGGUUAAAAAUAAUUUGUUCCAAGCUGGGAUUAUAUGAUAUAUAUUCUCUAGCUUGAGGGGGAGUGUUGAAACACUUAUAUGUGUAUGUGUAUUUAUGCUGGGGUCUUAUUGUAAUUAGAUAUAGGGUUUGUGGCCAUUAUGUAAUUAGGCCUUUAUUGUAUUGUAUAUAACUCCCUUUAUGUUUUAGGGUUAAGAAUGUAUGGAAAAUAUGGGCUGAGACUCUCUCGCCAUCUCUCUCUCUCUCUCUAUCUCUAUUCUCAUUAUUUUCAAAUCUCCAUUUUUACAGUUUUCAAAUUUAGCUUUUUCAUGAACUGAUCAUAUGAGUUAAUUGAGUUUUAAAAGGACAUUCUUCUCCACUAAUUGAUAAUAAACUACCCAGUCAAGUUCCCAAUGAAGGUAACUCUGGUAUUAUUAAGACACCCAAAGGCAAGACCAAAAUCAGCAUAUAAUUUUUUCAAUUUAUUUUUUUAUUUUUUUUUAUAUUUUGACUAAGAUCAUUAUGCAGACCCCUUGAAGCUAUUAGUGUAUGGUAAUACCUUGGAUUUUUUUUUUGAUUGCUAUGGUGACGUUUUCUAACUCUGUUACAUA